UGCGGCUGGAUCCCCUCCUUUCUGAGAAAGACAGGUGCCGACGCCGAGAGGCAAGGCACACAACGCAAGACAAUGACACGGAACUACUCCGGUCGAAACGCGAUUUGCUUAUCAGUUCUCUUCGUCUCACAGUUCUGUUGCUAAGGGCGGAGGUUGCUCACGCGACUGGCACCUUAACAACUCAAUAACGCAAAUGGGAAACGACGUAUCAAGAGCAAGUCUUAGUAGAGCGAGAGUAUCCUCUUCUCCGUAACACACAGUUCAAAGCAGAGAAGAGCAUACGGGGGAUGCCUUGGCGUCAAGUGCCGACGAAGGACGUGGUACACUGCGAAAAGCGUGGAUGAGGCGUGUGCAGCCGUGAUAGUCCACGAUGUCCGAAUGGGGAAACCCGG
rnacentral:misc_RNA from 1 species